AUUGGACGCUGGCGGCAGGCCUAACACAUGCAAGUCGAGCGGAUGAAGGGAGCUUGCUCCUGUAUUCAGCGGCGGACGGGUGAGUAAUGCCUAGGAAUCUGCCUGGUAGUGGGGGAUAACGUCCGGAAACGGGCGCUAAUACCGCAUACGUCCUGAGGGAGAAAUUGGGGGAUCUUCGGACCUCACUCUAUCAGAUGAGCCUAGGUCGGAUUAGCUAGUUGGUGGGGUAAAGGCCUACCAAGGCGACGAUCCGUAACUGGUCUGAGAGGAUGAUCAGGCACACUGGAACUGAGACACGGUCCAGACUCCUACGGGAGGCAGCAGUGGGGAAUAUUGGACAAUGGGCGAAAGAAUGAUCCAGCAAUGCCGCGUGUGUGAAGAAGGUCUUCGGAUUGUAAAGCACUUUAAGUUGGGAGGAAGGGCAGUAAGUGAAUACCUGGAUGUUUUGACGGUACCAACAGAAGAAGCACCGGCUAACUUCGUG
rnacentral:rRNA from 1 species